ACCCUACCAAAGUCACCUUAGCCAAAACACCAACCGCCCCUCCUCCUACCGUAGCCAAGAAGCCCAAACAUCACAAAACCAAAACAUCCAACAACCCUAUCUCUACCAAACACCCCAACAACCUUUCCAACCUUUCCUCGACACCUUAGCCAAAACACCAACCGCCCCUCCUCCUACCGUAGCCAAGAAGCCCAAACAUCACAAAACCAAAACAUCCAACAACCCUAUCUCUACCAAACACCCCAACAACCUUUCCAACCUUUCCUCGAC
rnacentral:lncRNA from 1 species